CUCUCUCUCUCUCUCUUCGCUAAGCCAUCUGUAGAAGAAGACGAAGAACAUUCCUUUCUGCUCUCUCUCUCUCCGCUAAGCCGUCUGUAGACAACGACGAAGACGUGGAGUCAUCUCGUAUUGCAGCUCAAUCUCGUUGUGAGUCUUUUAUAUUCCGCUUUUUCCUUAUAUUCUUUUGUCUUUCUGAUUUUCAUGUUUGUGAUUUCGAGUUUGGAUGAUGGGGUUAAAUUAUGUUAGGGCUUUGUUUGGAUUCUCUGGAAAUUCGAUUUCUGUUAGAUCCGUGAGGAAAGAAUGCUAGAGUUGGCGAUGAAAUUAAAUUUUGUAGAUUCAAUUCUGCAGGCCGCAUCCUUUUCCUGAAAUCAAAUUUUGGUUAAGCUUCGAUUCAGCAUCUCCAUCUAUCAUCGACUAUCUAAUCACCAUCUUCGCAGACCCAACAAUUCAGCCACAGGCUCAAAUCUCUGGGUCCAUUUUAAGAUGGCUCUUCGGGCACCAUUAGAUGGUGGCCCAUGCAUGCUACGAAGUAGCUUUGGAGAUUGGGAAGUUGCAGCUAUGUGCUUCCGCAAUGAUUCACAUCGUUUGGUAUACAAACCUUCGAGGAGUUUUGUUUGUAAGUAUGCUGAAACAUUAGCCAUUGAUGGACGGCAGUGGGAUUCAGCAGUGGAAGUAGUUCCAUGGCCUAACAAAAUGAUUUAUGCCUCAUUUCUAUAUCUUUUCCAAAUCAAUGAUGAAACUUGCUGGUUUGUUAAAAAUAUUGAAACCAAUAUUAAUGCUGAGUUUGUGAUAAGAUUUGCUUAUUAAGUUCGUUGUCAUUGUACAGGGUCAUGUGAAUGCUCAUUUGAUAUUCAACUUUAUACCACGAUCAACCUUUAAAGUUCAGGGACACAUUAGGUUUUGUUCAUUUAGGUAUUUUGACUCAUCUCAUGCUCAGUAUUUUGUAAUUUUAGGUAUUCGUUAUGUUGAUGAUUGCUUUGUUGUCUGCAAUCAAUUUUGUCAGUUCUUCGCACUUUGCAAUUAUUUUCCUAAAAUAUUGGCCAGUGAUAUUCCAUUGAGCAAUAUAUAUCUAAAUAAAUGCUUUUUGUUGUGUUGUUUGUUUAGUACUAUGAAUACCCAAAAAUUGUCUGUUUCUUAUGUCCAUUCUUCGGCUGCUUGAUGGUACAUUGACAAUGGGAAUUUCACUGGCAUAUUGCUAAAAUUGGUAUCUUGUUUUCAUUCCCCC